UACGUAGGGGGCAAGCGUUGUCCGGAUUUAUUGGGCGUAAAGAGCGUGUAGGCGGUCAGGUAGGUCCGUUGUGAAAACUCGAGGCUCAACCUCGAGACGCCGAUGGAAACCAUCUGACUAGAGUCCGGAAGAGGAGAGUGGAAUUCCUGGUGUAGCGGUGAAAUGCGCAGAUAUCAGGAGGAACACCGAUGGCGAAGGCAGGUCUCUGGGCAUUAACUGACGCUGAGGAGCGAAAGCAUGGGGAGCAAACAGG
rnacentral:rRNA from 1 species